UUUGACGUUAGCGACAGAAGAAGCACCGGCUAACUCCGUGCCAGCAGCCGCGGUAAUACGGAGGGUGCGAGCGUUAAUCGGAAUUACUGGGCGUAAAGCGCAUGCAGGUGGUUUGUUAAGUCAGAUGUGAAAGCCCGGGGCUCAACCUCGGAAUAGCAUUUGAAACUGGCAGACUAGAGUACUGUAGAGGGGGGUAGAAUUUCAGGUGUAGCGGUGAAAUGCGUAGAGAUCUGAAGGAAUACCGGUGGCGAAGGCGGCCCCCUGGACAGAUACUGACACUCAGAUGCGAAAGCGUGGGGAGCAAACAGGAUUAGAUACCCUGGUAGUCCACGCCGUAAACGAUGUCUACUUGGAGGUUGUGGCCUUGAGCCGUGGCUUUCGGAGCUAACGCGUUAAGUAGACCGCCUGGGGAGUACGGUCGCAAGAUUAAAACUCAAAUGAAUUGACGGGGGCCCGCACAAGCGGUGGAGCAUGUGGUUUAAUUCGAUGCAACGCGAAGAACCUUACCUACUCUUGACAUCCAGAGAACUUUUCAGAGAUGAAUUGGUGCCUUCGGGAACUCUGAGACAGGUGCUGCAUGGCUGUCGUCAGCUCGUGUUGUGAAAUGUUGGGUUAAGUCCCGCAACGAGCGCAACCCUUAUCCUUGUUUGCCAGCGAGUAAUGUCGGGAACUCCAGGGAGACUGCCGGUGAUAAACCGGAGGAAGGUGGGGACGACGUCAAGUCAUCAUGGCCCUUACGAGUAGGGCUACACACGUGCUACAAUGGCGCAUACAGAGGGCGGCCAACUUGCGAAAGUGAGCGAAUCCCAAAAAGUGCGUCGUAGUCCGGAUUGGAGUCUGCAACUCGACUCCAUGAAGUCGGAAUCGCUAGUAAUCGUGGAUCAGAAUGCCACGGUGAAUACGUUCCCGGGCCUUGUACACACCGCCCGUCACACCAUGGGAGUGGGCUGCAAAAGAAGUAGGUAGUUUAACCUUCGGGGGGACGCUUACCACUUUGUGGUUCAUGACUGGGGUGAAGUCGUAACAAGGUAGCGCUAGGGGAACCUGGCGCUG
rnacentral:rRNA from 1 species